AUUGAACGCUGGCGGCAGGCCUAACACAUGCAAGUCGCACGAGUGGCGGACGGGUGAGUAAUGUCUGGGAAACUGCCCGAUGGAGGGGGAUAACUACUGGAAACGGUAGCUAAUACCGCAUACCAUCGGAUGUGCCCAGAUGGGAUUAGCUAGUAGGUGGGGUAUCGGCUCACCUAGGCGAAGUUCCCUAGCUGGUCUGAGAGGAUAACCAGCCACGCUGGAACUGGGACACGGUCCGGACUCCUACGGGAGGCCGCAGUGGGAAAUAUUGCACAAUGGGCGCAGGCCUGAUGCCGCCAUGCCGCGUGUAUGAAGAGGGCCUUCGGGUUGUAAAGUACUUUAAGCGAGGAGGCGUUACUCGCAGAAGAAGCACCGGCUAACUCCGUGCCAGCCGCCGCGGUAAUAC
rnacentral:rRNA from 1 species